rnacentral:lncRNA from 1 species
ACCAGAUAUCUUAACACACAUCUAACACCUCAAAGGGAAAUUCACUUCAUGCACACACACAACAUACACACAGCGAAAAGUGGGGAAUUGAUUCUCAUAAUCCACAUUCUUUUUAGUUUUGGACAAGAAUCAGUAAGCUAUCUAUCUCAAUAGCAAAAGCUGCUAGAUCUUUCUCGUCCUUAGAUGCAUGGCAUUGAUACUAAAAACAAUCGUUCACAACAUGUUAUUAUUUAGAAUUUAGAAUCAUGAACCAAUAAAAUGUCACAACAAAGACAUGCCCAUGGAUUUGAAUGAUAAAAAAAAAAAAAAAAGCUUAGCUUAUGGAUCAACAUAGAAUCCUUUCAACUUUGCCUUUUCCUUCAAUUGAAUCAACUAUUUUUCCUGGCAAUUAUAGACCAUACAAUACAACUAAAACGCUUUUAGGAUUUGAUAAAAAAAAUUUAUAUAAAUAACAAAAAGAAACCAGUGGCUUUAUGUCUGUUAAUUUCUUAAGGGCUUAUCAUGCAUAAAGUGGACACUAGCACCAUUUAAAAUUUGUAACUCUAGUAUUAGCAAGCACCACUGACGCAAAAAAAAACUAAAGAUUAUAUGACUGUUAAUUUCUAUAAUAAAACUUUGCCAUGAAUACAUUUCAAGAACUUAUAGGAGAACUUGAAAUUAAAAAUGUAGAUUAAACUUUUUGAUCACUCUUAUCUUGUCAUUAUUCACAUGGCUACUGUAUUUCAAAUUGGCAGUAAAGUUACUUUGACUACAAUGCAGAUGACAACAUGUUUCAUUAUUUCAAACUAAUUGGAGAAACAUCAAUUAUAUCAAUGUAGUUAGGGAAGCAACUUUAUGCACUUAAAGGUUUUUCCAUUCCAUGCACAUUUAAAGCCAUAUCCAAGGGGUUGAUAUGAUAAAAACCAAAAUAAAAAACCACUUUACUGCUAAUGUCCAUGCAACUCAAGUGUCUGUUAGUGGUUGUAUUCUAGAAAUGAAUGCAUCGAUCAGUUGUACCACCUUAAGAAGUAAGAAGCCUGUGCAGAUGGGAAAACCAUACAAUUGCUUUUACAGCAGCAAUAUCCUCAGUAUUUCAGGAUAGGUUAAAUGGAAUGUUGAUUCCAAACAAAAAGUUGCAUAUAGAUGAAAGUUUUGCCAUUCAAUCAGUUGACUAUAUGUAUAUUAAUUUCUUGGGGGCCUGUCAUUCAUAAAGUGGACAUUAGCACUAUCUACAAUUUGUAACUCUAGUAUUACGAAGCACUACGGACACAACAAAGAAGCUAGUGACUGUAUGUCUGUUAAUUUCUAUAAUAAAACUUUACCAUGGACACAUUUCAAGAACUUAUAGGAGAACUUAAAAUUAAAAAUGUAGAUUAAACUUUUUGAUCACUCUUAUCUUGUUACUAUUUACAUGACUACUGCAUUUUAGAUUGGCAAUAGAGUUAUUUUGACUACAAUGCAGAUGACAGCAUGUUUAAUCAUUUCAAAAUUAAAAACAUCAAUUAUAUUAAUACAGUCAGGGAAGCAACUUCAUAAACUAAAAGGUUUUUCCAUUCCAUGCACAUUAUAGCCAUAUUAAAGGGAUAUGCUACGAUAAAAACCAAAAUAAAAAAAAUCAUGUGACUGCCAAUGUCUAUGUAGCUCAAGUGUGUGUUAAUGGUUGUAUUCUAGAAAUGAAUGCAUCAAUUAGCUAUACCACCUCCAAAAGCAAGAAGCUCAUACAGGUUGGGAAACCAUGCAAUUGUUUUUACAUCAGUAGUAUGUUCAUAGUAUUUCAGGACAAGUUGAAUGGAAUGUUGAUUCCAAACAAAAAACUGUAUAUGGAUGAGAGUCUUGCCAUUUAAUCAGUUGACUGUAUGUUUAUUAAUUUCUUAGGGCCUAUCAUUCAUAAAGUGGACAUUAGCAUUGUCUAGAAUUUGUAACUCUAGUAUUAAGAAGCACCACUAAUGCAAAAAAGAAACCAAUGACUAUGUCUAUUAAUUUCUUCAAUAAAACUUUACCAAGGACACAUUUCAAGAACUUAUAGGAGAAAUCGAAAGCUAAAAUUUAGAUUAAACUUUUUUAUCACCCUUAUCUUGUUACUAUUCAUAUAGUUAAUGCAUUUGUUACUAUUCACAUAGUUACUGCAUUUUAGAUUGGCAGUAGAGUUACUUUGACUACAAUGCAGAUGAUAGCAUGCUGCGUCAUUUCAAACUAAUUGGAAAAACAUCAAUUAUAUCAAUGCAAUCAGGGAAAUAACUUUAUGCACUAAAAGGUUUUUCCAUUUCAUGCACGUUUGAGGCCAUAUUAAAGGGGUAUGAUAUGAUAAAAACUAAAAUAAAAAAAUCACUUAACUGUCAGUGUCUAUGCAGCUCAAGUGUGUGUUAAUUGUUGUAUUCUAGAAACGAAUGUAUUGAUCAGCUAUACCACCUCCAGAAACAAAAAGCCUAUGCAGAUGGGGAGACCAUGCAAUUGUUUUUUACAACAGCAGUAUGCUUACAGUAUUUUAGGAUAGGUUGAAUGGAAUGUUGAUUCCAAACAAAAAUCUAGAUAUGGAUGAGAGUUUUGCCAUUCAAUCAGUACUUAAAACCAUGGUUGUUGCACGUUGCUGUUGCUUUGUUCUUUUGUUGUCGAGGAGAAAAAGAGGGUAACAGAGUUUAAGGGGUUUUCAAACCCUUAAAACAAACAGCUGGAGAUAGGAACAAGAACCAAUUGUAAAUCAAAUUUUUUAUGCCAAAUUUAAUCUUCAAUUUUUUUAUGACAUUAGGCAAUCAUAUCGGUGAGUAAAUAGGGAAAAUCCAAGAACCAACAAAAAUUAGUUACCUUUUUUACAUGCAAGUCCUUAGAAGAUGAUUUGAACACUUUCUUCAUCAUCGAAAACCAUUCACUCCCUUGCUUUCCUAUCUCCACUCAAGACAGGAGCUUUAACAAUUGUAAAACCCAAAUCAAAGAAAUAAUAAAAAGAAAAAACCCCAAUCUAAACAAUCAAAUCCUCAACUUUAUCAAUCAAUAAUCAAAACUCAUUUCCAAAAAUUAUUAAAAAAAAAAAUAAACAAACAAUGAAAACCAAAAUUUUAUGACUUAAUAAUAAAAAUCUAUAUCAGAAAAGUAAUAAAAAGAAUUGAAGAAAAUGAUAAAAUCUAGUCAGAAACAUAGAGAUCAACUCAAAACCAAGUUGAAAAAAAGACUUACCUAAAAAACCCAAAUUUUAGCAUAUUCCUUAAAAGUCAAUUCGUUAUCCAGAAAAGCCUU